GGUCAAGCGAAUAAGCGCACACGGUGGAUGCCUUGGCGGUCAGAGGCGAUGAAGGACGUGGCAGCCUGCGAAAAGUAUCGGGGAGCUGGCAACAAGCUUUGAUCCGGUAAUGUCCGAAUGGGGAAACCCACCCGCUUGCGGGUAUCCUGCAGUGAAUACAUAGCUGCUGGAAGCGAACCUGGUGAACUGAAAUAUCUAAGUAACCAGAGGAAAAGAAAUCAACCGAGAUUCCGUAAGUAGCGACGAGCGAACGCGGACUAGCCCUUAAGCUGGAUUGGUUCUAGGAAAACGCUCUGGAAAGAGCGGCCAUAGAAGGUGAUAGCCCUGUAUCUGAAAGGGCCAUUCCAGUGAAGACGAGUAGGGCGGGGCACGUGAAACCCUGUCUGAACAUGGGGGGACCAUCCUCCAAGGCUAAAUACUACUGACCGACCGAUAGUGAACCAGUACCGUGAGGGAAAGGCGAAAAGAACCCCGGAGAGGGGAGUGAAAUAGAACCUGAAACCGUGUGCGUACAAGCAGUAGGAGCUCCGCAAGGAGUGACUGCGUACCUUUUGUAUAAUGGGUCAGCGACUUACUGUUCGUGGCAAGCUUAACCGUAUAGGGGAGGCGAAGGGAAACCGAGUCUGAUAAGGGCGCAUAGUCGCGGGCAGUAGACCCGAAACCGGGUGAUCUAGUCAUGCCCAGGGUGAAGGUGCGGUAACACGCACUGGAGGCCCGAACCCACUCCCGUUGCAAAGGUAGGGGAUGAGGUGUGAUUAGGAGUGAAAAGCUAAUCGAACCCGGAGAUAGCUGGUUCUCCUCGAAAGCUAUUUAGGUAGCGCCUCAUAUGUAUCCUCUCGGGGGUAGAGCACUGUUAUGGCUAGGGGGUCAUCGCGACUUACCAAACCAUUGCAAACUCCGAAUACCGAGACGGACUGUAUGGGAGACACACGGCGGGUGCUAACGUCCGUCGUGAAAAGGGAAACAACCCAGACCCACAGCUAAGGUCCCAAAUUUUGUGCUAAGUGGAAAACCAUGUGGAAAGGCACAGACAGCCAGGAGGUUGGCUUAGAAGCAGCCACCCUUUAAAGAAAGCGUAAUAGCUCACUGGUCGAGUCGGUCUGCGGGGAAGAUUUAACGGGGCUAAGCACAGAACCGAAGCUUGGGGUGCAUAACUUUGUUAUGCGCGGUAGAGGAGCGUUCCGUAAGCCGUUGAAGGUGGAUUGAGAAGUCUGCUGGAGGUAUCGGAAGUGCGAAUGCUGACAUGAGUAACGAUAAUGCGGGUGAAAAACCCGCACGCCGAAAGCCCAAGGUUUCCUUGCGCAACGUUAAUCGGCGCAGGGUGAGUCGGCCCCUAAGGCGAGGACGAAAGUCGUAGUCGAUGGGAAGCAGGUUAAUAUUCCUGCACCUCGCGUAAGUGCGAUGGAGGGACGGAGAAGGUUAGGUGUACCAGGCGUUGGUUGUCCUGGGGAAAGGCGGUAGGUUUGGAUCUUUGGCAAAUCCGGGAUCCUCUAAGACCGAGCACCGAGACGAGCCUUUAUGGNNNNNNNNNNNNNNNNNNNNNNNNNNNNNNNNNNNNNNNNNNNNNNNNNNNNNNNNNNNNNNNNNNNNNNNNNNNNNNNNNNNNNNNNNNNNNNNNAGGCGAAGUCACUGAUACCACGCUUCCAGGAAAAGCUCCUAAGCUUCAGCUUACGCAGACCGUACCGUAAACCGACACAGGUGGGUAGGAUGAGAAUUCUCAGGCGCUUGAGAGAACUCGGGUGAAGGAACUAGGCAACAUGGCACCGUAACUUCGGGAGAAGGUGCACCCUUUUUGGUGGCUCGUGCGAGCUAUAGCUGAAGAGGGUCGCAGUAACCAGGCCGCUGCGACUGUUUAUCAAAAACACAGCACUCUGCAAACACGAAAGUGGACGUAUAGGGUGUGACGCCUGCCCGGUGCUGGAAGGUUAAUUGAUGGGGUCAGCCGCAAGGCGAAGCUCUUGAUCGAAGCCCCAGUAAACGGCGGCCGUAACUAUAACGGUCCUAAGGUAGCGAAAUUCCUUGUCGGGUAAGUUCCGACCUGCACGAAUGGCGUAACGACAGCGGCGCUGUCUCCACCCGAGACUCAGUGAAAUUGAAAUCGCUGUGAAGAUGCAGCGUUCCCGUGGCAAGACGGAAAGACCCCGUGAACCUUUACUAUAGCUUUACACUGAACGUUGAGUUCGUCUGUGUAGGAUAGGUGGGAGGCUAUGAAACCAUGGCGCUAGCUGUGGCGGAGCCAUCCUUGAAAUACCACCCUGUCGUGCUUGACGUUCUAACCUGGGCCCAUUAUCUGGGUCGGGGACCGUGUAUGGUGGGUAGUUUGACUGGGGCGGUCUCCUCCUAAAGAGUAACGGAGGAGCUCGAAGGUACGCUCAGCGCGGUCGGACAUCGCGCACUGUGUGCAAAGGCAUAAGCGUGCUUGACUGCAAGAUCGACGGAUCAAGCAGGUAGGAAACUAGGACUUAGUGAUCCGGUGGUUCUGUAUGGAAGGGCCAUCGCUCAACGGAUAAAAGGUACUCCGGGGAUAACAGGCUGAUACCGCCCAAGAGUUCAUAUCGACGGCGGUGUUUGGCACCUCGAUGUCGGCUCAUCACAUCCUGGGGCUGUAGUCGGUCCCAAGGGUAUGGCUGUUCGCCAUUUAAAGUGGUACGCGAGCUGGGUUCAGAACGUCGUGAGACAGUUCGGUCCCUAUCUGCCAUGGGCGUUGGAGAUUUGAGAGGGGCUGCUCCUAGUACGAGAGGACCGGAGUGGACGAACCUCUGGUGUUCCGGUUGUCACGCCAGUGGCAUUGCCGGGUAGCUAUGUUCGGAAGCGAUAACCGCUGAAAGCAUCUAAGCGGGAAGCGCGCCUCAAGAUGAGAUCUCCCGGGGCACAAGCCCCCUGAAGGAACCAUGUAGACUACGUGGUUGAUAGGUCAGGUGUGUAAGUACAGCAAUGUAUUGAGCUAACUGAUACUAAUGAUCCGUGCGGCUUGACCAU
rnacentral:rRNA from 1 species